GCAUAUCAAUAAGCGGAGGAAAAGAAACCAACAGGGAUUGCCUUAGUAACGGCGAGUGAAGCGGCAACAGCUCAAAUUUGAAAUCUGGCCCUCGGGUCCGAAUUGUAAUUUGUAGAGGAUGAUUUUGGUGCGGUAUCUUCCGAGUUCCUUGGAACAGGACGCCUUAGAGGGUGAGAGCCCCGUACGGUUGAAUGCCUAGCCUCUGUAAAUCUCCUUCGACGAGUCGAGUAGUUUGGGAAUGCUGCUCUAAAUGGGAGGUAAAUUUCUUCUAAAGCUAAAUAUUGGCCAGAGACCGAUAGCGCACAAGUAGAGUGAUCGAAAGAUGAAAAGCACUUUGAAAAGAGGGUUAAAUAGCACGUGAAAUUGUUGAAAGGGAAGGAUUUGUGACCAGACUUUUUCUGGGCGGAUCAUCCGGGGUUCUCUCCGGUGCACUUUGCCCAGUAAAGGCCAGCAUCGAUUUUCGGCGGCGGAUAAAAGCAGUGGGAAUGUGGCUCCCUACGGGGAGUGUUAUAGCCCAUUGUAUAAUACGCUGCUGGGGAUCGAGGUACGCGCUUCUGCAAGGAUGCUGGCGUAAUGGUUAUCAAUCACCCGUCUUGAAACACGGACCAAGGAGUCGAACAUUUAUGCGAGUGUUUGGGUGUUAAACCCUCACGCGUAAUGAAAGUGAACGGAGGUGAGAGCCCGUACGGGUGCAUCAUCGACCGAUCCUGAAGUUUUCGGAUGGAUUUGAGUAAGAGCAUAACUGUUCGGACCCGAAAGAUGGUGAACUAUGCGUGGAUAGGGUGAAGCCAGAGGAAACUCUGGUGGAGGCUCGCAGCGGUUCUGACGUGCAAAUCGAUCGUCAAAUCUGCGCAUGGGGGCGAAAGACUAAUCGAACCAUCUAGUAGCUGGUUACC
rnacentral:rRNA from 1 species